rnacentral:tRNA from 1 species
AGCCCCGUGGUGAAGAGCACAUCGGAUUGCAAAUUCGAAGACGCAGAUAAAACUCUGCCGGGGCUU